GCGAGUGAGCGGUAACAGCUCAAAUUUGAAAUCUGGGUCUUUCAGGCUCCGAGUUGUAAUUUGUAGAAGAUGCUUCGGGUGCGGCUCCGGUCUAAGUUCCUUGGAACAGGACGUCAUAGAGGGUGAGAAUCCCGUAUGUGAUCGGUUGCUUGCGCCCAUGUGAAGCUCUUUCGACGAGUCGAGUUGUUUGGGAAUGCAGCUCAAAAUGGGUGGUAAAUUUCAUCUAAAGCUAAAUAUUGGCCAGAGACCGAUAGCGCACAAGUAGAGUGAUCGAAAGAUGAAAAGCACUUUGGAAAGAGAGUUAAACAGUACGUGAAAUUGUUGAAAGGGAAGCGCUUGCAACCAGACUUGCGCGUUGCCGAUCAUCCGGGGUUCUCCCCGGUGCACUCGGCCUCGCUCAGGCCAGCAUCGGUUUUGGUGGUGGGAUAAAGGCCUUGGGAAUGUAGCUCCUUUCGGGGAGUGUUAUAGCCCUCGGUGCAAUGCCGCCUACCGGGACCGAGGACCGCGCUUCGGCUAGGAUGCUGGCGUAAUGGUUGUAAGCGAC
rnacentral:rRNA from 1 species